GUAGGCGGUUUAAUAAGUGAAUAGUGAAACCUGGUGGCUCAACCAUACAGACUAUUAUUCAAACUGUUAAACUCGAGAAUGGUAGAGGUAACNUGGAAUUUCUAGUGUAGGAGUGAAAUCCGUAGAUAUUAGAAGGAACACCGAUGGCGUAGGCAGGUUACUGGGCCAUUUCCGACGCUAAGGCACGAAAGCGUAGGGAGCGAACCGGAUUAGAUACCCGGGUAGUCCACGCCGUAAACGAUGGAUACUAGCUGUUGGAGGUAUCGACCCCUUCAGUAGCGAAGCUAACGCGUUAAGUAUCCCGCCUGUGGAGUACGGCCGCAAGGCUAAAACAUAAAGGAAUUGACGGGGACCCGCACAAGCGGUGGAUUAUGUUCUUUAAUUCGAUGAUAACCGAAGAACCUUACCAGGGCUUGACAUCCAGGGAAGGUCUGCGAAAGUAGACUGUGCCUUUUGGAACCCUGUGACAGGUGAUGCAUGGCCGUCGUCAGCUCGUGUCGUGAGAUGUUAGGUUAAGUCCUUCAACGAGCGCAACCCUUGUGGAUAGUUGUAUUUUUCUAUUCAGACUGCCCCGGUAACGGGGAGGAAGGAGGGGAUGAUGUCAGGUCAGUAUUUCCCUUACGUCCUGGGCUAGAAACGUAAUACAAUGGCUAGUACAAUGCGCAGCGAAGCCGCGAGGUGAAGCAAAUCGCAUCAAAGCUAGUCCCAGUUCGGAUUG
rnacentral:rRNA from 1 species